CUUGAACGCUGGCGGCAGGCUUAACACAUGCAAGUCGAGCGGGGUGAGGUGCUUCGGUACUGAUCCUAGCGGCGGACGGGUGAGUAAUGCUUAGGAAUCUGCCAUUUAGUGGGGGACAACAUUCCGAAAGGAAUGCUAAUACCGCAUACGUCCUACGGGAGAAAGCAGGGGAUCUUAGGACCUUGCGCUAAAUGAUGAGCCUAAGUCGGAUUAGCUAGUUGGUGGGGUAAAGGCCUACCAAGGCGACGAUCUGUAGCGGGUCUGAGAGGAUGAUCCGCCACACUGGGACUGAGACACGGCCUAGACUCCUACGGGAGGCAGCAGUGGGGAAUAUUGGACAAUGGGCGGAAGCCUGAUCCAGCCAUGCCGCGUGUGUGAAGAAGGCCUUUUGGUUGUAAAGCACUUUAAGCGAGGAGGAGGCUACCUAGAUUAAUACUCUGGGAUAGUGGACGUUACUCGCAGAAUAAGCACCGGCUAACUCUGUGCCAGCAGCCGCCGCGGUAA
rnacentral:rRNA from 1 species